rnacentral:misc_RNA from 1 species
GAUGAAGAACGUAGUGAAAUGCGAUAAUUAAUGUGAAUUGCAGAAUUCAGUGAAUCAUCGAGUCUUUGAACGCACAUUGCGCCCCCUGGUAUUCCGGGGGGCAUGCCUGUCCGAGCGUCAUUGCUGCCCUCAAGCACGGCUUGUGUGUUGGGCUCCGUCCCCCCGGGGACGGGCCCGAAAGGCAGCGGCGGCACCGAGUCCGGUCCUCGAGCGUAUGGGGCUUUGUCACCCGCUCUGUAGGCCCGGCCGGCGCCAGCCGACAACCCAUCAUCCUUUUCAGGUUGACCUCGGAUCAGGUAGGGAUACCCGCUGAACUUAAGCAUAUCAAUAAGCGGAGGA